rnacentral:rRNA from 1 species
AUUGAACGCUGGCGGCAGGCUUAACACAUGCAAGUCGAGCGGGGGGAGGUAGCUUGCUACCGGACCUAGCGGCGGACGGGUGAGUAAUGCUUAGGAAUCUGCCUAUUAGUGGGGGACAACAUCUCGAAAGGGAUGCUAAUACCGCAUACGUCCUACGGGAGAAAGCAGGGGAUCUUCGGACCUUGCGCUAAUAGAUAAGCCUAAGUCGGAUUAGCUAGUUGGUGGGGUAAAGGCCUACCAAGGCGACGAUCUGUAGCGGGUCUGAGAGGAUGAUCCGCCACACUGGGACUGAGACACGGCCCAGACUCCUACGGGAGGCAGCAGUGGGGAAUAUUGGACAAUGGGGGGAACCCUGAUCCAGCCAUGCCGCGUGUGUGAAGAAGGCCUUAUGGUUGUAAAGCACUUUAAGCGAGGAGGAGGCUACUUUAGUUAAUACCUAGAGAUAGUGGACGUUACUCGCAGAAUAAGCACCGGCUAACUCUGUGCCAGCCGCCGCCGUAA